UUUAUAAUAAUUUGUGUAAGUUUAGUUUUCAAUUAAACUAGUUACGAGGUUUAAAAUUUGGACCUUAAUUAUUUAAAAUACGUAGACCUUUCGACGUCAAAAAUUAUAUUUUUGAAUAGAGCUCGACCUCACGAACGCGUAAACGCAAACCGUUCGUGAAACGGAGUUAGAACGAAGAAGUUAUUAAUGUUUAAAGUUGGGGGCAUUUUAGUAAAAUAGUUAAGUUCAAGAUAACUCCAGAUUUUUUAAGAAAAAUCUAGAAGGCCACGUGUGUGGCCGAGAUUUAAAGACAUAAAAGAUGGGCGGUGGAGAUGGAUUAUAAAGGAGAGAAAGGAGGGAGGAGAAAAGGAGGAGAGAAGAGGAUGACCAAUGGGGAGAGAGAACCAGGAGAGGAAAGGAGAGAAUGGGGGAGCGGGGGAUCCUGCGACCCGAGUGACCGGACCCGAUUCGGUCGGGUUUCCUUUCCCUUUUCCAAUGAAAUUAGCCAUUUUUCCACCAAAUUACAUCAAAUUAACCAUUGUAAAACCCUCCAUAACCUUCCUUCUUCCUACUAUACCUUGAAAUUCAUGAAAUUUGGCCUUGAAUUUGGGAAAACCACACCGGUGGGUGCGAUGAACUCGUGACUUUGUUCCCCCCAAUUCUGAAAUGAUUCCAUCAAAUUAAUACCACCAUUAGACUCCCCUUAAGAGCUGGAACAAAGCCCAUUCAUUGAUUGGGGCAUCGGAGUUGUUUUGGAGAUGAAUCAAGAACACCCAAGGGUUUCUGACAGUUUGUGGCCAUUUUGAGGUGUUUCCCGGCCAAAUUGGCCUUGGUUGUAGGUAUGAAAGUUUCUCUACUCAUUCAGAUCUUCAUUUAUAUAAUUUUUGAGAAUUUGUUAAAAUAAUUUAUUUUUUCGGCAAACCGAGGCGGCCAACCGCCACCCGCGGUAGUGGUUGUGGUGGCGCACGGCCAGGGAGCCGACAAUUGUAUUUUAUGCUAAUUUCGUUAUUCUAAUUAUGUUUUUGAGAUAAAAUUGUUGUGGUUUGAAUAUUAAUACGAUUUUGAUAUUUGUUGGAUUAAAUGAAUAUUUUUGGAUUUGGUUUAAAUUUUGAAGUUUUGAACUACAAAAGGCUUGAUCCCUGUUGAGGGUACGUAGGCAGUCUAACGAGAUGUUAGACGUAGCCAUAAAAUAAAUGUGUUUAAAUAUUUCGGGGCAGGGGCGUUACAAUGGUAUCAGAGCAAAUGAUCCCACUUUACAUUAUGAGAUAUGGUUGAGCUGUGGAUGUGAAUUAUGGAUCUCGUUGAUAUUGCAUAUAUCAUAAAUUCUAUGAAACGUGAGGAAUCUAUGUGGAAAGUAUGCAUUGUAAAUCGUCAUGAAAUGAAUUAAAUGGGAAUAUAAAUUUUUGAAAUGUCACAUUUCUUGUAAUAGCCUUAAUGUUGGGUAUUUGAUUAAGGUUUUAGGUUAACCUUUAUAUAGGGUUGAAUUUAUAUUAUGCAUUAUGGAAAACAUAUAGGAAAUACAUAUAUGAUUGCAUUGUGCUUGUGAUGACAAUUUCAUGAUGAAUAUGAGAUAGUGAUAGUAGAAAUUAUUAUUUGCAUUGAUAUUGCAUUAGUCUUUAAGUUCUUUGAACAAUGAGGAACUUUUGUGGAAUGUAUAUGUUGUGAAUUAUGAUGCUUUGAAUUGAAUUGAAUGGGAGUAGGAAAAUUUUAAAAUAUCAUAUUUAUGAUAUAGCUUUGAAGAUGAGCAUUGAUUAAAGUUUUGGUUUAACCUAGAAUUGAAUUGAUUUUAUGUUAUGCAUUAUGAAAAUGUGAAAUGCUAAAAUGAUGGUGGAAUUGUGACAAGUAGAUGGAAGAAUUGCAUUAUACCUGUGCCAGUGGAAGAAAAGAGCCAGUGUACAUGUGAUUGGGCCGAAAAUAGCCCGUGGAUAUGUGAUUGGGCCGAAAAGAGCCUGUGGAUAUGUGAUUUGGCCGAAAAGAGCCCGUGGAUAUGUGAUUGGGCGAAAAAGGCCUGUAGAUGUGAAAUUUAGGCACAAUGACCCGUAAAUGUGAAAUUUGGCGAAAAAGGCCCGUAAUUGUGAAAUUGGGCACAAUGACCUGUAAAUGUGAAAUUGGGCAAGAAGGGCCGUUAGAGAAAAAAAAAAGGUGGUGUAUAUUGGCCAGGUAUAAUACAAUAUUUUCCGCCUACUAGCCACUUAUGGAGAUAAAAGAAAAUGGUGGUGAAAUCAUUGUUUUGAUAAUGAUAAGUAUAGCUCGAAAUUUCAAAAAUCUGAUGGCCAUGAAAAUUUUGGUUGGGCAUUUUAAUAUUUAUGGAAGAGAUUGUGAUUUAUCGAAUGGGAAAUGAAAUUAUAAACUAUGGUUAUGGUUUGCCUAAUAUAAUUAGAAUGGUGGUAGGUAUGAAUGAAACUAUGAAAUGAAAUUCUAAGCUUGUUUAAUAUCAACGAAUUUUUGGUGGUGUGAGAUGUGAAAUUUUUUAUUUAGGAAAGGAAUGGAUGGGGAAGUAUAAUUAUAAAUUUGAUUGGUGAGUUGCCAUGGUUAUAAGUUAACAUUGUUGAAAUUGAUGUUGCACACCAAAUUGUUGAAGCGUAUAUAUAUUCGCAUGGUUAAGAAAUUAAUAAGGUUUAAUUUGGUUGGCCGUUAGAGUAGUAAAAUGUAAAAUUCUUUCCUUUGGUUGAUGAAAUGUAGAUAGUACACUGGACAUGUAGCUCACUAAUUUAUUCGAGUUGUGGUUAGAAUUUGGUUGAAUUAUUGAUAUUUGGUUUGUCAAUUAUAAGGAUUUGGCUUGAAAUUCUACUAGGUUACUAGUGGAUGAUUUGGGAAUUUCGGUAUUUAAUUGAUCGAGAAUAGUUAUGGCUGAAAAUUUAUAAUAUCUAUGCUGCCAAUAUUGGGUAUUUUCUGAUGUUGGUAUCGUCAGUGAUGGUGGUUAAAAAAAAAAUAAUUAGAAGAGGGAUUGUGGUAAUGGCUGUGUAUAGCCAAUGAAGGCCAUGAGAAAUUUUGGCUUAAUGUGGAUAAUUAUUUUACCAAUGGGUAUGGUUAAAAUUUUUGAUACUUAAUUUGACAAUGAAUGUUGUUGGGGAUAUGCGAAUGAGAGUAAUAAUUACGAUUAUAAUUCGUUGUUUUGCUUAUUUUGAACUUGAAUAAAAUCCUAGGUGGAGGUUAUAAUUUUAUUCACCAUAAAAGAAAUGGUAGAAAUACUGCUAGUUCCUUAUCGUGACUUGACGAUUGAAAUCUCGGGGACGAGAUUUAUUUUAACGGUGGGUGAAUGUAAUACCUUGAAAAUUUUAAAUAUAUGAAUAUGUGGAGAAAAUCGAAAAUAAAUUGAUUUAUGAUCAUGAAGAAUUAAAUCAAGAACUUUUAAAGUUUUGUUCCAGAAAUUAUAUUAAUCAACGUAUUUGUAUUAUUGAGCUUUUAUAUGAUUUUUCAAGAAUUUAUAAUAAUUUGUGUAAGUUUAGUUUUAAAUUAAACUAGUUAAGAGGUUUAAAGUUUGGACCUUAAUUAUUUAAAAUAUGUAGACCUUUCGAGGUCAAAAAUUAUAUAUUUGAAUAGAGUUCGACCUCACGAACGUGUAGGCACAAACCGUUCGUGAAACGGAGUUAGAACGAAGAAGUUAUUAAUGUUUAAAGUUGGGGGCAUUUUAGUAAAAUAGUUGAGUUCAAGAUAACUCCAGAUUUUUGAAGAAAAAUCUGGAAGGCCACGUGUGUGGCCGAGAUUUAAAGACAGAAAAGAUGGGCGGUGGAGAUGGAUUAUAAAGGAGAGAAAGGAGGGAGG
rnacentral:lncRNA from 1 species